rnacentral:rRNA from 1 species
CCUACGGGUGGCACCAGUGGGGAAUAUUGGACAAUGGGCGAAAGCCUGAUCCAGCAAUGCCGCGUGAGUGAUGAAGGCCUUAGGGUUGUAAAGCUCUUUUACCCGGGAUGAUAAUGACAGUACCGGGAGAAUAAGCUCCGGCUAACUCCGUGUCAGCAGCCGCGGUAAUACGGAGGGUGCUAGCGUUGUUCGGAAUUACUGGGCGUAAAGCGCGCGUAGGCGGCUUUGUAAGUUAGAGGUGAAAGCCCGGGGCUCAACUCCGGAACUGCCUUUAAGACUGCAUCGCUUGAAUCCAGGAGAGGUGAGUGGAAUUCCGAGUGUAGAGGUGAAAUUCGUAGAUAUUCGGAAGAACACCAGUGGCGAAGGCGGCUCACUGGACUGGUAUUGACGCUGAGGUGCGAAAGCGUGGGGAGCAAACAGGAUUAGAUACCCUUGUAGUC